CAGCAGUGGGAAUAUUGCACAUGGGGAAACCCUGAUGCAGCCAUGCCGCGUGUGUGAAGAAGGCCUUCGGGUUGUAAAGCACUUUCAGUAGGGAGGAAGGUAGUGUAGUUAACACCUGCAUUAUUUGACGUUACCUACAGAAGAAGCACCGGCUAACUCCGUGCCAGCAGCCGCGGUAAUACGGAGGGUGCGAGCGUUAAUCGGAAUUACUGGGCGUAAAGCGCAUGCAGGCGGCCUGUUAAGUCAGAUGUGAAAGCCCGGGGCUUAACCUCGGAAUUGCAUUUGAAACUGGCAGGCUAGAGUCUUGUAGAGGGGGUAGAAUUUCAGGUGUAGCGGUGAAAUGCGUAGAGAUCUGAAGGAAUACCAGUGGCGAAGGCGGCCCCCUGGACAAAGACUGACGCUCAGAUGCGAAAGCGUGGGGAGCAAACAGGAUUAGAUACCCUGGUAG
rnacentral:rRNA from 1 species